GUCCAGACUCCUACGGGAGGCAGCAGUGGGGGAUAUUGCACAAUGGGGGAAACCCUGAUGCAGCGACGCCGCGUGGGCGAAGAAGUAUUUCGGUAUGUAAAGCCCUAUCAGCAGGGAAGAAGAAAUGACGGUACCUGAGUAAGAAGCACCAGCUAAAUACGUGCCAGCAGCCGCGGUAAUACGUAUGGUGCAAGCGUUAUCCGGAUUUACUGGGUGUAAAGGGGGCGCAGACGGCGAUGCAAGCCAGGAGUGAAAGCCCGGGGCCCAACCCCGGGACUGCUCUUGGAACUGCGUGGCUGGAGUGCAGGAGGGGCAGGCGGAAUUCCUGGUGUAGCGGUGAAAUGCGUAGAUAUCAGGAGGAACACCGGUGGCGAAGGCGGCCUGCUGGACUGCAACUGACGUUGAGGCCCGAAAGCGUGGGGAGCAAACAGGAUUAGAUACCCGAGUAGC
rnacentral:rRNA from 1 species